rnacentral:rRNA from 1 species
UGGUGGGUAGUUUGACUGGGGCGGUCUCCUCCUAAAGAGUAACGGAGGAGCACGAAGGUUGGCUAAUCCUGGUCGGACAUCAGGAGGUUAGUGCAAUGGCAUAAGCCAGCUUGACUGCGAGCGUGACGGCGCGAGCAGGUGCGAAAGCAGGUCAUAGUGAUCCGGUGGUUCUGAAUGGAAGGGCCAUCGCUCAACGGAUAAAAGGUACUCCGGGGAUAACAGGCUGAUACCGCCCAAGAGUUCAUAUCGACGGCGGUGUUUGGCACCUCGAUGUCGGCUCAUCACAUCCUGGGGCUGAAGUAGGUCCCAAGGGUAUGGCUGUUCGCCAUUUAAAGUGGUACGCGAGCUGGGUUUAGAACGUCGUGAGACAGUUCGGUCCCUAUCUGCCGUGGGCGCUGGAGAACUGAGGGGGGCUGCUCCUAGUACGAGAGGACCGGAGUGGACGCAUCACUGGUGUUCGGGUUGUCAUGCCAAUGGCACUGCCCGGUAGCUAAAUGCGGAAGAGAUAAGUGCUGAAAGCAUCUAAGCACGAAACUUGCCCCGAGAUGAGUUCUCCCUGAGACUUUAAGUCUCCUGAAGGAACGUUGAAGACGACGACGUUGAUAGGCCGGGUGUGUAAGCGCAGCGA